UAAGGAAUAUUGGUCAAUGGGCGCAAGCCUGAACCAGCCAUGCCGCGUGCAGGAAGACGGCCCUCCGGGUUGUAAACUGCUUUUGUACGGGAAUAAACCUCGCUACGUGUAGCGAGCUGAAUGUACCGUAAGAAUAAGGAUCGGCUAACUCCGUGCCAGCAGCCGCGGUAAUACGGAGGAUCCAAGCGUUAUCCGGAUUUAUUGGGUUUAAAGGGUGCGUAGGCGGCCUGUUAAGUCAGGGGUGAAAGACGGUGGCUCAACCAUCGCAGUGCCCUUGAUACUGAUGGGCUUGAAUGGACUAGAGGUAGGCGGAAUGUGACAAGUAGCGGUGAAAUGCAUAGAUAUGUCACAGAACACCGAUUGCGAAGGCAGCUUACUAUGGUUUUAUUGACGCUGAGGCACGAAAGCGUGGGGAUCGAACA
rnacentral:rRNA from 1 species